CCUACGGGUGGCAGCAGUGGGGAAUAUUGGGCAAUGGACGCAAGUCUGACCCAGCAACGCCGCGUGAAGGAAGAAGGCUUUCUGGUUGUAAACCUCUUUUAAGGGGGAAGAGCAGCCGACGGUAUCCCUUGAAUAAGCCACGGCUAACUACGGGCGAGCAGCCGCGGUCAUACGUAGGUGGCAAGCGUUGUCCGGAUUUACGGGGGGUAAAGGGCGUGCAGCCGGAGAGACAAGUCAAGUGUGAAAUCCACGGGCUCAACCCGGGAUCUGCAUUUGAAACUGUUUCCCUUGAGUGUCGGAGAGGUAAGCGGAAUUCCUGGUGUAGCGGUGAAAUGCGUAGAUAUAAGGAAGAACACCAGUGGCGAAGGCGGAUUACUGGACGAUAACUGACGGUGAGGCGCGAAAGCGUGGGGAGCAAACAGGAUUAGAUACCCUAGUAGUC
rnacentral:rRNA from 1 species